UACGAAGGGGGCUAGCGUUGUUCGGAAUUACUGGGCGUAAAGCGUGCGCAGGCGGCUUCCCAAGUCAGUGGUGAAAGCCCGGAGCUCAACUCCGGAACUGCAUUCGAUACUGCCGUGCUUGAGGACUGGAGAGGAGACUGGAAUUUACGGUGUAGCGGUGAAAUGCGUAGAUAUCGUAAGGAAGACCAGUGGCGAAGGCGGGUCUCUGGACAGUUCCUGACGCUGAGGCACGAAGGUCAGGGGAGCAAACGGG
rnacentral:rRNA from 1 species